rnacentral:rRNA from 1 species
UUGAACGCUGGCGGCAGCCUAACACAUGCAAGUCGAGCGGAUGAAGAGAGCUUGCUCUCUGAUUCAGCGGCGGACGGGGUGGAGUAAUGCCUAGGAAUCUGCCUGGUAGUGGGGACAACGUCUCGAAAGGGACGCUAAUACCGCAUACGUCCUACGGGAGAAAGCAGGGGACCUUCGGGCCUUGCGCUAUCAGGUGAGCCUAGGUCGGAUUAGCUAGUUGGUGAGGUAAUGGCUCACCAAAGGCGACGAUCCGUAACUGGUCUGAGAGGAUGAUCAGUCACACUGGAACUGAGACACGGUCCAGACUCCUACGGGAGGCCAGCAGUGGGGAAUAUUGGACAAUGGGCGAAAGCCUGAUCCAGCCAUGCCGCGUGUGUGAAGAAGGUCUUCGGAUUGUAAAGCACUUUAAGUUGGGAGGAAGGGUUGUAGAUUAAUACUCUGCCAAUUUUGACGUUACCGACAGAAUAAGCACCGGCUAACUCUGUGCCAGGCAGCCGCGGUAAUACAGAGGGGUGCAAGCGUUUAAUCGGAAUUACUGGCGUAAAGGCGCGCGUAGGUGGUAUUGUAAGUAGAUAGUGAAAGCCCCGUGUGGCUCAACCUGGGAACUGCAUUCUAAAACUGACAAAGCUAGAGUAUGGUAAGAGGGUAGGUGGAAUUUCCUGUAUGUAGCGGUUGAAAUAGCCGUAGAUAUUAGGAAGGAACACCAGUGGCGUAAGGCGUACCACCUGGACUCGAUACUGACACUGAGGUGCCGAAAGCGUGGGGUAGCAAACAGGAUUAGAUACCCUGGUAGUCCACGCCGGUAAACGAUUAUGUCAACUAGCCGUGGGAGCCUUCGAGCUCUCUUAGUGGCGCAGCUAACGCAUUAAGUGACCCGCCUGGGGAGUACGCACGCAAGGCUUUAAAACAUCAAAUGAAUUGACGGGGAACCCGCACAAAGCGGUGGAGCGUGUUGUUUAAUUCGAUGGUAAGCGAAGAACCUUACCCAGGCUUGACAUCCUUGGAAGCACUGCGAAAGCAGAGUGUGCCUUUUGGAACCAAGUGACAGGUGAUUGCAUGGCCGUCGUCAGCUCGUGUCGUGAGAUGUUAGGUUAAGUCCUUCAACGAGCGCAAACCCUUAUAGUUAGUUGUAUUUUUCUAAGCUAGACUUGCCCUGGUAACAGGGAGGAAGGGGGGGAUGAUGUCAGGGUCAGUAUUUCCCUUACGUCUGGGCUACAAACACGCUACAAUGGCCGGUACAAAGGGCAGCCAAGUCGCGAGGAACGGAGCAAAUCCCAUCAAAAGCCGGUCUCAGUUCGGAUAGCAGGCUGAAACUCGCCUGCUUGAAGCUGGAAUCGCUAGUUAACGGUAGGUCAGCAUUACUACCGUGAAUACGUUCCGGGUCUUGUACACACCGCCCGUCAAACCAUGAAAGUCGCCAAUACCUGACGUGUUGCCUUCGCGGCAGCCCUAAGGUAGGGGGAGAUGAUUGGGGUUAAGUCGU